ensembl:lncRNA
GCGCGGAGGGCGAGCCGGGAGCCGGCCUGCCGCCUCGGGCUUCGCCGAAGGAAGCGCAGGAGCCGGACUGUCCCGCCGCGGGGCUGCCUGGACGGCUCCGCGUCUGGCGAGUCAGCAGGAGACGCGCCCCCCGCCCGGCGGGAACGGGGUGCGGGGCGAGCGGCCUGCCCGACCUGCAGCCGGGCCGUGUUUGGAGCCGCGAGCGUGCCAGCCGGAGCCGGCGGAGCAGGCGAGGCGCGGCCGGCGCCGGGAGGACGUUUCCAGCCCGAGGCCGCUCUGCGCCGCUGCGGGGCCCCCGGCGCGCACGGCGGGUGCUUGGGUGGCGAAAGGCAGGCGCGUGUCCGGAGCGGCGCGGGCGCCAGCCUGGCCCUGCCGGCCCUCCCACGGCUGCCGGCGGUGUGGGAGCAGAGGCCGCAGCUGCGUGAACCAACUCGGCCUCGCUCCCUUCGCCAGCACGUGGCCCCGGACAACGCCCCUGCUGCCUGUGUCUUCAGCGCUCGAGGCGCAGGCCCUCGGCCGUCCAGGGGCAGGGGAGUUCUGCCGGGAGCUGCGGGGCGGGUGUGCAGCCCAGGGGAAAGGCCGGGACCCCACGGUCAGGCUGCGUUCCACAGCCUGGCCUUGCCAGGGUUGGGAGGGUGGGAGGAUGGCCUCCUCUGCUGGCGUCUACACUGCAAAACUCCGCGUCCCUGCACUGAACGGGACCGGGAGGCUGGCUUUGAGCAGGAAAGUAGAUCCUCCUGUCACCCCCUCGGGUGACCAAUCAGGAUGAACGUGCUCCCUGCUCAGACUUCCCACGGGGCCGCCUCCCUUUCUCCUCCUCCUCUUUCCCCCGCCCUUACCCGGGCUACUGCAGUGGCGGGGGCGCAGAAGGGGCCUUCCUUGCUGUCUGGCUUUUCCUGGAUUCCCUUGAUUAAACUAAACCUUCGAAUGAAUGUAAAAAACAAGCAAGCCGCAUGCGUGGGCCCUGCAGUCCCCUCCCCCAGAUUCUGACCCAAGGGCUUGGAGCAGGCUCAUUUUUAUUACCAGCCCAAGCGAUUCGGUUGCAGGUGAUUCUGGACCACACUUUGAAAAACACUGAGGCAGAAGUAAGCCAGCAAGUGCAUGGGAUACAUCCGAUGUGAGAGGUCUGCUGAGUUAAACCCACAGUGUGUGUUUGGGCUACAAAUUCUGCAGAGGAAAGCGGAAAUCGAUGUUGGAGGCUGUUUCCUGUGAGUUAAGAGUGUGCUGCUGGAACCCUAUUUAGGCCUGGAAAGUUUGGGUUCUUCGUGUGGAAAUUUGUCCCCUCACUGCCAUUUCACUGAGCAGAUAAAAGCUGCUUUACAAGAGUCUGAAAUGUGGCUGAAUUCUUUUUCUGUUCAUAGAGCAAGGCACAGUUGGCCUCAGUGUAGGGAAGAGGUAAGAUGCUGAAAAGUUUUCCUCAGGCCUUAAUGACAGGUCCCCCACUGUCAAGCUGGGUGGGAACCUUUAUGCUUCUGCCUUUAAGCUGCUACACGACAAUUCAGAAAAUGAUUUGCAGUGGGUAGGGCGUGGCCCCACAAUCCCCACCUGUGGAAACAGGAUCUUAAUGGCUGUCAGUGUUCAAAGAACGGGCUCCGGGUUUCCUUCCAGCGUCCUGUGCGGCUGUUAGUGCUGUUCUCCAGGCUGCCCUUGACUCCCGAUCAGCCCCUCAGCCUUCGGCCAGCAGGCUGCUCCCAGCUGCUCUCCUGGAAGCACUUCCUCACCAGCCAGGUGGCCUCUCAUCUCCCUGCAGCCCCAUCCUGUCUGCCCCAGAGCCCGGGUGGCUUCAGCACUUCCCUAACGCCACUCAUCUCUGCUCCUCCCUCCUGGUUAUCUUCCUGCCAGUUUUGGAAGUGGGCCUUUCCUAUUGCAGAGACGGCCCAGUGGAAUGCUUUGGGACACAACAAGGGUUGCAGGGUGGGAGAGAUCACUGCAGGGUCUCAUGGCCUGUGAUUCUGUUCAGUGCCAACACGGGAGACUGAAUGAAGCAAGAGCAAGCGCUGAUAGAUGCUGCCGCUCCGGAGUGGAGACCACAUCUGGUUCAUCUCUUGAGUCCUCAGUGCCCAGCCAGAGCUUGGCACAUAGCCGGUGCUCAAUAAGAUGAUCUGUUGAAUGAAUGCUCUUAGUGUCCUUUCUUCUUCGGAAAGGUGUCCGACGUGUGUUAAGUCCGAGAAUCACAACCUCAACAGGGAGGCAAAAGCAGAGAUGCCUCUGCUUUGCAGUAGCUCUCAUGAGUCACGUCAGAGGUGCAGGUCUGGCUCAGCCGUUGUCCAAGAAACUCCAGGAGCUCCACCUCCCUGUGCCUCAGUGUCCUCCACUGCGAUGCGGAGGCCACAGUGUCUGCUCUGCCUGCCUCCCUGGAGGUCAUGAGGACACGACAGGAGAACAGACAUGAGACUUCUCUGAGAAUUUCAAAGCCGUGCUUAAGUCUCUUUUCUUCUACACGCUCAUGCUCAAGGACCACAGCCAGGUUCACCUCCUACGCCAGCUGAGGAAACCCCCAUCCUGGUAGGCCAGGUGCUGCCAAGUGCCAGCCUCCAUGGAGCUCGAUUGUCUGCUUGGUCAGACAUUUCUGCACCCCAGGUGGCGAGUGACAAGUUAAGUCACAGAAGACUGGCUGGCAUAUACUUGCUCCCUGGCACAGUUCUCGCUCCCGGAGCCACCGAGAACAGAAACAGGAGGAUCUUCUCCCCAGAGGACUAUGCUCCUGGACAGCAUCCUUGACCCAUCCAGAGAGCACUCGGCCCCUAUUCUGUCCAGAACAGGCCCAGGGAGGAGGCACUUACAGGGAGCAGCCAGCCAGAGAGCAGCAGCACCCAGGCAGGGACACGGCCUCCUGCCCUCUAGGCCAGCGCUCCCACUGUUCUUCCCGCCUCUCCAGGGAUGGAUGGAGGCCACGGUAGGCGGCGCUUUGCAUCCUGUUUCCUGUUGCUAAGGUGCCCACUUCACUCUCUCAUGGCGGACUGGUUUCCUCCACCCUGCAGGAAAUGCAGCAGCCAAAUCCCUCCCUGCAUCCACCACACGUGCAGCUCCUGAAUUUCACAUCUUUGUUAACAACUUGCACCAAAGAUACUGCAGGCUUUCAGCCAGGAAGUCCCAGGGUAAGGACUCCGAGUGGCCAGGCUUGGUCAGGCACCCCCACUAGACAGUGAGACAAAGCGGGAUGAGGGCUAAGGCCAUCUGAGACCCAGGCAGCUCCUGUGGGCCACAAAGAGGGAGAGCAGUGCUGGGCAGGCCGUCCCACAGACGUCCACUGCAAGGCCUCCCUCUGGCUUCAAGGCCCAACUCAAUGACGACCUUUUCCCAAAGCCUUUCCCAUCCUCCUGGGCUGGAAGGAACACUGCCUCCUCUCUGCUUCCCCGGUAUUUUCAUCGGCACCUCCCUGUGCACUUAGCACCUGUUUACCAUGUACUCACCUUUUGAAUAACUUUUAUUACACAAAUACUAAUAUAUACUCGUUGAAGGAAAAAUUAGAAACACACCCACAAAGAAAGUAAAAACCACUCUUAAAUCUGCCACCUGGAGGUAGUCACUCAGCAGUGAUUAUCAUUUGCGGGUGUAAGCAAUCUUAGGGUCAUGUCUGUUUUCUCUGCGUGCAUUCAGCUCUUCAAAAGCCACGUCGGAAUCUCACCUCCUCUCUGUGUACCCCCACUGCCACCACAACGCUUCCGUUUCAACAGGGACCCGUUCCUGUGAUUUAAAUAAGUGGGUGAAUAAACAAGGGAAUAAGCAAGGGAAUGAGUGGACAGAAAGAAGAUGGGAAAAAAAUUCUCUUGCCCAAAAGUUGCCCCAAUGGAGGAACCAAGAAGAGAAGAGGAAGCGUCAGCCCUGAGAGGGCAUAUGCCGCCCUCCUCCCCUCCCCUCCACAGCCCUCUGCCCCCGUCCAAGCAGAUCACUGCCUGGAGGUGAGCGGUGCCCAGAAAAUGGGCAGGACCUGGAUAACGAUCAUAGUGGGCAGACAGAGACUGAAGCCCAGUCCCUGCUGUGCGACUUGGAAAUGUCAGUCAUGGCUUAAGGGGAGAGCCGAUUCAAGGAAACAGCCAAGUCAAGGUCGCCACAUGUGUGCGGCAUUUUAGGUUCAGCAAGCGAUCUGCAAAUUCAAAGCCUCGUAAAUGGGUUCCAAGAAAUCUGAUUUUAACAGCACCACUGACACAGGAGUGUGUCCCGGGACUCGCCCCUCACUGGGAUGAAGAUUGUCAUUGAUUUAUCAGGAGCAGAAACAGCAGGAUUCCACAUCACGUCCUGGAAGGCAGCCCAGGCAAAGGUGGAGAAUUAGCAGAUCGUUACUAUUAAUUCCAAUAUUACAACUCCCCAGGAGUCCUGCAGCAAAUCACAGGCUCUCUCACAGGAGUUUCUCCGUAUUUAAGUGGAGUUAAUGUUUUUUGUUUUUGUUUCUGUUUUUAAUGGAGCAUCAUUCCUAAUUAUGAAGACACUCUCAAAAUUACAAAUAUUCAUUAAUCACGCGCAAGUCCGGAACAUGCUAGGUCCUAUACGAGAUGCACAGUAAGUAGAACCACCGCUAUAUUUCAUUCACUUGAGCGGUCAACAUUUACUGAAGCCCUUGAUGUGCCCAACACUGUGCCGGGCACUGGCUUUAUACCACAUUACAGUUAUUAGCCAUUUUAAAAGUGAAGAGAUCAACCUCAGAGAGGUUAUAAAACUUACCCAACUGCCCUCGGCCACACAGUUUGUAAGAGACUUGGGAUUAGAAUAAAGGGAGAGAUCGGAC